CCUACGGGAGGCAGCAGUGAGGAAUAUUGGUCAAUGGACGCAAGUCUGAACCAGCCAUGCCGCGUGCAGGAAGACGGCUCUAUGAGUUGUAAACCGCUUUUGUACGAGGGUAACCGCAGAUACGUGUAUCUGUCUGAAAGUAUCGUACGAAUAAGGAUUGGCUAACUCCGUGCCAGCAGCCGCGGUAAUUCGGAGGAUUCAAGCGUUAACCGGAUUUAUUGGGUUUAAAGGGUGCGUAGGCGGUCGGAUAAGUUAGAGGUGAAAUUCCGAGGCUCAACUUCGGAAUUGCCUCUGAUACUGUUCGGCUAGAGAGUAGUUGCGGUAGGCGGAAUGUAUGGUGUAGCGGUGAAAUGCUUAGAGAUCAUACAGAACACCGAUUGCGAAGGCAGCUUACCAAGCUACUUCUGACGUUGAGGCACGAAAGCGUGGGGAGCGAACAGGAUUAGAUACCCCAGUAGUC
rnacentral:rRNA from 1 species